rnacentral:lncRNA from 1 species
UGUGAGUCUUCUCAAGCCAUAUCACAAACACAUGUGAGACCCAAGUCGCGGAAAAUCGAGGCGUGCACCAACCGCCAUUGUCACCGCAUUCGACAAAGAUGUGGACUACAUCAUUGCGGAUCGCGUGGUUUCGAGAAGGGGCGUGCCAGCACAUAACGAGUACUUGAUAAAGUGGAAAAACCUUCCCGAGAGUGAAUCCACAUGGAAACGAGAAGAAGAUUUGUGGCAAUUCGCUGAGCAAACUUGAUAAAGUGGAAAACCCUUCCCUAGAGCGAAUCCACAUGGGAACAAGAAGAAGAUUUGUGGUAAUUCGCUGAGCACAUCCAGAAUUUCAAGCACGAGAGUGCGACGAGGACGCCGCGAGCUUAGGUGGGGGAGGAUGUUGCG